rnacentral:rRNA from 1 species
AUUGAACGCUAGCGGGAUGCUUUACACAUGCAAGUCGAACGGCAGCGCGGACUUCGGUCUGGCGGCGAGUGGCGAACGGGUGAGUAAUGUAUCGGAACGUGCCCAGUAGCGGGGGAUAACUACGCGAAAGCGGAGCUAAUACCGCAUACGCCCUACGGGGGAAAGCAGGGGAUCGUAAGACCUUGCACCAUUGGAGCGGCCGAUAUCGGAUUAGCUAGUUGGUGAGGUAACGGCUCACCAAGGCGACGAUCCGUAGCUGGUUUGAGAGGACGACCAGCCACACUGGGACUGAGACACGGCCCAGACUCCUACGGGAGGCAGCAGUGGGGAAUUUUGGACAAUGGGGGCAACCCUGAUCCAGCCAUCCCGCGUGUGCGAUGAAGGCCUUCGGGUUGUAAAGCACUUUUGGCAGGAAAGAAACGUCGCGGGCUAAUACCCCGUGGAACUGACGGUACCUGCAGAAUAAGCACCGGCUAACUACGUG